AAUCUAUGGUGGGGGCAAAGUCUGAGCAUAUUCUUGAAUUUGUCCCAAGCUUCAUAUAGGGUCUCUAUGUCAGCUUGUCUAAAACUCACAAUCAAAUUUCGCAU